rnacentral:lncRNA from 1 species
ACUGAGUAUACUGGGCCCAGCCAGAUUCUCUGGGUGCUUUCUUCUUUCUUAGUUCCCCCUUUAUUGUGGGCCCUCCUCAGUGCCAACAUUGCUUUGUCUCUCGCUGGAGAAGCCUGUGAGAACGAGGAUGGGCAAAGUGUCAGGCUCUUGGUGCAGCUGAAAAUCCUUUGAGAUGGAAGAAAUGGCUGGAACAAAGGGGCAGAGGAACAAAAAGCCCUGAACUGCUUCGCCCCUGCCUCGUGGGGUCUUUAUCAUCUUAAACCUUGGGAUUUGGGCUUUGAUCAACUCGGCCUUCCUGGGCCUCGGGGAGAGAGACGGACUGCCUCCGGGUGCUCAUGACCUUUCCAGCAGUAAGCCAAUAAUGUAUGACUCCUGCGUUGCCGUUGCUCGUUUGAGGAACAUCUGUCCAGUCCCUGGGAUGGUGAGGCUAUAACCACAAAGGAAUAAGAGAAGACGACUAGUUUUGUAAUGGGCACAGUGGAUUGAAGAGGGGGGCAGUGCUGAGUCAUUCACGUGGUGUGUGAGGGCUCCUGUUUGUAAAUCAGGGAUUCUUGCAGCCUGCUUUUUCAGGGACAUUGGCUGCUGUCUUCUGACCCACCCUGUGUGGCUUUGGCGUCUCCUGUGACCUCCCAGUAUGGGUCUUGGCCUCAUCCUGCCUCUUUGUCUUUCUGGCCCACCACCCACAGCUUGAAUCUCAGGCUCCAACAGUUGCCUGACCCCCAGAUUCUGAUGACAGCCUACCUACUUGUUCUUCAGGCCCUCACCAGACUCACUGCCCAGACACACCACACAGGAGAACAUGAAAGGGUGAAUGAAUCUUUCAUCAUUUGAUGACCAAGUUGGCAUUCUUUUACAUUCCAGCCACCAGAGGAAGGUGUAUUUUAACACAAUUGCCCUCACAUCCUCCUUAACAGGAUUUACAUAAGUUUAUUAACACAUAUGUUUCUACAAAAUCAAGUUUUGAGAACCAUUUUUAUACACUGAUCUGGGACAUUUUGGGGAUAUGAAAUUAACUUUAGCACACACAGCAAGAAGAAAACCGAACAACAAAUUCUACAAACACCAAAUUUGCUGUGAAAUUUACAUUUCAGAAUCUCUCAAGAAAUAGUGCCCAGCAGCAAUUCUUACUGUUUUCACUUUUUCCCCCGUCUUCACAUUUUUAUGUUUGACAGUGCCAACAUAUUUUCUCAACAUUUAUUCUGAAAGGAAUGUACUUUGUGAAUUCCUUAAAUGCAGGAUGAUUCUGAUUUUAUUGGCCUAAUAGCUCCUCCUUAUGCGUGGGUUAGUAUAACAGAAUGCAUUUGAGACCUGCUAUACUAUUUUAAAUUAAGACAUUUCAUGUAGCACAUAGUAUUUUAAAAUGAAGAACAUUGUCUUGGAAAGCACACAGGCUAACUGCUAUUUUCUUGAUGCAAGAAAUAUUUAAAUUCUCUGUGCUUCAGUCUAUACAAUCAGUUUUCCAGGGAUGCUGUGUAUAUAAAACGAGGGAGUGUAUUAAGAGUAUCAGCAUGUAGUAGGUCCUUCAACAGAAGCUGGAGGUUCUGGCUCAAGGUCUGGCUUGUGUUCAAUGAACACCAAACCACAUAAUUGCCC